rnacentral:rRNA from 1 species
UACGGAGGUGGCGAGCGUUGUCCGGAUUUACUGGGCGUAAAGGGAGCGUAGGCGGACUUUUAAGUGAGAUGUGAAAUACUCGGGCUCAACUUGAGUGCUGCAUUUCAAACUGGAAGUCUAGAGUGCAGGAGAGGAGAAUGGAAUUCCUAGUGUAGCGGUGAAAUGCGUAGAGAUUAGGAAGAACACCAGUGGCGAAGGCGAUUCUCUGGACUGUGACUGACGCUGAGGCUCGAAAGCGUGGGGAGCAAACAGG